rnacentral:rRNA from 3 species
AACUUUCAACAACGGAUCUCUUGGUUCUGGCAUCGAUGAAGAACGCAGCGAAAUGCGAUAAGUAGUGUGAAUUGCAGAAUUCAGUGAAUCAUCGAAUCUUUGAACGCACAUUGCACCUCUCGGUAUUCCGGGAGGUAUGCCUGUUCGAGCGUCAUU